rnacentral:rRNA from 1 species
CUGGCGGCGUGCCUAACACAUGCAAGUCGAACGAGAAAGUGGAGCAAUCCAUGAGUACAGUGGCGUACGGGUGAGUAACACGUGACUAACCUACCCUCGAGUGGGGAAUAACUUCGGGAAACCGAGGCUAAUACCGCAUAAUGUCUACGGACCAAAUGCGUAAGCAGCUCGAGGAGGGGGUCGCGGCUGAUUAGCUUGUUGGCGGGGUAACGGCCCACCAAGGCAAUGAUCAGUAGCCGGCCUGAGAGGGCGCACGGCCACACUGGAACUGAAACACGGUCCAGACUCCUACGGGAGGCAGCAGUGGGGAAUUUUGCGCAAUGGGGGAAACCCUGACGCAGCAACGCCGCGUGGAGGAUGAAGCCCCUUGGGGUGUAAACUCCUUUCGAUCGGGACGAUUAUGACGGUACCGGAUGAAGAAGCACCGGCUAACUCUGUGCCAGCAGCCGCGGUAAUACAGAGGGUGCAAGCGUUGUUCGGAAUUAUUGGGCGUAAAGGGUGCGUACGCGGUGCGGUAAGUCUUCUGUGAAACCUCCGGGCUUUACUCGGAGCCUGCAGGGGAAACUGCCGUGCUGGAG